rnacentral:rRNA from 1 species
AUUGAACGCUGGCGGCAUGCCUUACACAUGCAAGUCGAACGGUAACGGGCCUUCGGGUGCCGACGAGUGGCGAACGGGUGAGUAAUGUAUCGGAACGUACCUUUCAGUGGGGGAUAACGUAGCGAAAGUUACGCUAAUACCGCAUAUUCUGUUAGCAGGAAAGCAGGGGAUCGCAAGACCUUGCGCUGAUUGAGCGGCCGAUAUCAGAUUAGCUAGUUGGUGAGGUAAAGGCUCACCAAGGCGACGAUCUGUAGCGGGUCUGAGUGGAUGAUCCGCCACACUGGAACUGAGACACGGUCCAGACUCCUACGGGAGGCAGCAGUGGGGAAUUUUGGACAAUGGGGGCAACCCUGAUCCAGCCAUGCCGCGUGAGUGAAGAAGGCCUUCGGGUUGUAAAGCUCUUUCGGCCGGGAAGAAAUCGUAUGGGUUAAUACCCUGUGCGGAUGACGGUACCGGCAUAAGAAGCACCGGCUAACUACGUGCCAGCAGCCGCCGCAGUAA